GGGGCUCCGUAUCUCUCCUGAACAGUGGUCCUCUCUGCUCUAUGGAGACCUCAUCCACAAGUCACACAUGCAGUCUAUCAUCGAUAAGCUCCAGUCCCCAGAGUCCUUUGCAAAGAGUGUCCAGGAGCUGACGAUAGUUCUACAGAGAACAGGAGACCCAGCCAAUCUGAACAGCCUCAGACCACACCUGAAACUACUGGCCAACAUCGACCACAUCCCAGAUGCGGCAGCUCCGUCGUGGGAGGAGCUGGAGAGUGUGAUGCUGGCGGUGAAGGUGGUAGUCCAUGGUCUGG